rnacentral:lncRNA from 1 species
UUUUUCGGUGCUUCUCUCUCUAAACUCUCUGAAUUUUCUGAAUUCUCUCGCGUCUCUCCUCGCCCAACACUCUCGAAUUUUCUCCUUCUCUAUUCUCAGAUUGGUAAAAGAAAAACGAAAUCUAACCUUUUCUCCUUUUGAAAUCUCUGCCGCUGAUUGAGGUUUCUCUCUUAUGAUCUAUUUUUGCAGUUUUCCGGUCAGUGACGGGACGAUAAUGAUUCUAGGGCAGAUCAGCAAUGGGUAGAUUGGAAGAUAGAAGCCAUAAAUCUGCGACAUCAGAUUUAGACUACGACAAGUUCCGACGACGAAGUCGACGACAUGCAAGGCCGGCGACGGUUGUAUUAAGUCAAGAUCGAUGAUGGCCACCACGAUUCCAGAGCAGAUCGACAAUGGGGAGAUUUUUACAUCUUUUCGUUUCGGUACUUGUCUUUAUCUUCUAUUUCAUACUUCUUUUUAUUCAUUCAAAUCUAAUUUGGACUUUUACCCCUCGUGUAUUUGGCUGGACGGGAUGGGUAUCAAGUGGUUUGAAUGAGCUUCAAUUUAAACCAUAAAGUAGAAAUUUCCUUCAGGAAAAAAAUGCAUAUCUCUGUCUACAAAUUGUUUCUUCAUAUACGCAUAAAGUUGAUUGCUACUUCUUCUUCUUGUCUGAACUUUGUGCAUGAAAAAAAGCAAUGUUGAAAUUAAGCUUCACUUAAACACAAACGUCUCACCUCUGAUUCUAUUUGGUGUAGGGAUUUGUGUCAGUAUAACUUUGAUGAUUAAAACAGAACAACCAAAAAAGAGUAUCUUGCUCGGUAGCUAUGUUGGACCAGAAAGAAAUAGUAUAGCUACAAAUCUGAUUUAUUAUGCACACGUAGGUGGUUAGCUUAAUGUGAAGCUUUAAUUUGUAUAUGGGUGAAGUAGGAAUGGCUAAACACCAGAUUUGUUAGCUUAGCUAUAGAGAAAUAACAAUGAAGCAUAUAAGUGAACAUAUGAUUUUUGUAUUGGUGAAAAGAUAGAAAGCAUACCCGGAUAUAUGCAACACCAUAGAUAUAGUUGAUGGUUAGUCAAAUAUAAUUAUAAUACUUGAUAAGCGUUAGUGUAACAUAUAAAGCAAUAGUUAAAACAUUAGAGCAAAAUGGAUAGAAGUCGUAAGCAUAAAAGACAGCCAGCCCAUUGUGGUGAAUGCGAACAGAUUCCGAGGCUUAUUGUAGAGGGGGAUAACUGUAGUAAUGGCUGAAGUUUGAAAACCCUUGUAUCAAACUUCAAGUAUUUCUAUUGAUUCUGACAUAUGCAAUCAUUAACCUCUAGUUGGUGUACUCUAUUUUCUUUUUGCGCAUUGGUUAUUUAUUUUGAUAAGGGAACUUUAUUAAGAGGAAGAAGAAAGCAUUUGUGGAUAGAGGAGGAAGGAAGCUUUUGGAGAUAGAAAAAUCAGGAGUAGAAAAUCAUGAUGGGAGUUCUUUGAGAUGGAUUUUUAUUAGUUUUGAGAGGUUUCAGGGAGAGUUGGGGGUUAUGGAAUGGUGCUUGAAGUUUAUGUGAGAAAAUUUGUGUGAAAGCUUCUGCCUCCCCCUCCCCUCCCUUUUCCAUGUAUGGAUUUGAUGUUUUUGUAGAGAAGCUAAGGCUACCGCCUCCUUUUCUGUUCAAUUAAAAGCAAAUUUGACAGAAAAUAGGAGGUGGCUGCUUCCAGAUAACUAACAGUGUUGGGCUUGAGAAGCGGGCUUGAGGAACGGGCCUGAUAAACAGGCCUGAUAUCAAAUUGGGUCGAAACAUUCAUACUGUUGCGAAAGCCUCUUGGCUGGUUUAGCUCGUUCGAUUUAGAGAUAGUAGAUGUGGGCCUGAUUCGAUUAGGCUAUUCUACAUUAAACGUUAGAAGCAAAACUUGAAAAAC